rnacentral:rRNA from 1 species
CGUAGGUACCGAGCGUUAUCCGGAUUUACUGGGCGUAAAGCGCGUUCAGGCGGUUUGGCAAGUCGGGCAUGAAAUCUCUCGGCUCAACCGGGAGAGGUUGUCCGAUACUGCUGGACUUGAGGGCAGUAGAGGGUGGUGGAAUUCCGGGUGUAGUGGUGAAAUGCGUAGAUAUCCGGAGGAACACCAGUGGCGAAAGCGGCCACCUGGACUGCACCUGACGCUAACACGCGAAAGCUAGGGGAGCGAACGGGAUUAGAAACCCCGGUAGUCCUAGCUAUAAACGAUGUUGACUAGGUGUCGGAGGGUUAAAAUCCGCCGGUGCCGGAGCAAACGCAUUAAGUCAACCGCCUGGGGACUACGGCCGCAAGGUUA